rnacentral:rRNA from 1 species
UACGGAGGAUGCAAGCGUUAUCCGGAAUGAUUGGGCGUAAAGCGUCCGCAGGUGGCUAUGUAAGUCUGCUGUUAAAGAGUCUAGCUCAACUAGAUAAGAGCAGUGGAAACUACAAGGCUAGAGUACGUUCGGGGCAGAGGGAAUUCCUGGUGUAGCGGUGAGAUGCGUAGAGAUCAGGAAGAACACCAGUGGCGAAGGCGCUCUGCUAGGCCGUAACUGACACUGAGGGACGAAAGCUAGGGGAGCGAAUGGG